rnacentral:rRNA from 1 species
UACAGAGGUGGCAAGCGUUGUUCGGAAUUACUGGGCGUAAAGGGCGCGUAGGCGGCCUUCUAAGUCAGACGUGAAAUCCCCCGGCUUAACCUGGGAACUGCGUCUGAUACUGGGAGGCUUGAGUAUGGGAGAGGGAUGUAGAAUUCCAGGUGUAGCGGUGAAAUGCGUAGAUAUCAGGAAGAACACCAAUGGCGAAGGCAGCUCUCUGGGACGGUACUGACGCUGAGACGCGAAAGCGUGGGGAGCGAACAGG